UACGUAGGGUGCGAGCGUUGUCCGGAAUUAUUGGGCGUAAAGAGCUUGUAGGCGGUUUGUCGCGUCUGCUGUGAAAAUCCGGGGCUCAACCCCGGACUUGCAGUGGGUACGGGCAGACUAGAGUGUGGUAGGGGAGACUGGAAUUCCUGGUGUAGCGGUGAAAUGCGCAGAUAUCAGGAGGAACACCGAUGGCGAAGGCAGGUCUCGGGGCCACUACUGACGCUGAGAAGCGAAAGCAUGGGGAGCGAACAGG
rnacentral:rRNA from 1 species